rnacentral:lncRNA from 1 species
UUCACAGCAGCGACUCGAACUACGUUGCAUCUGCUCAUGGUCGGUCCCAUGGUCGAUUAGUGUGCACGGUCAAUCAAUCGGUCCGCUGAUCCUCUCUAUCAUGCGUGAUCACUCACAGCAGCAAUCUUUUCUUGUUGAAGGAAAUCCUACGUGAUGCCGGCCCCGGCCCCCUUCGCCCUUGAUGAGUAAGCUUCGUAAGCUAGCUCUUCGUUGGUUGGCCCGCCCCCU